GGGUCAGGAGGCACCAAUUCCAAGAGCUCAUUUGAGGGUUGGCAGGGAAGGUUAGUGGAUUUUGCUAGAGAUCUUUGUGUACUUCUGAGGCUUGCUGAAGGGGUCCAAACCUGACUAAGAGCUGAACACACAUGAAAUGAUCCUUCACCUAGCAAUGACUCUUUCCAGUUUUCAAAGAUAUUCACUGCACGUUUCUGGAACUCCUCUCUCCCUGCAGCCGUCUUAGUGAGAUGCUUUAAAGGACCAUUGUUCAAAGAUAUUUUAAUAGAAUGUUGUAACCAAACAGCAACAAAAUCAGGAUCUUUGAUAUCACUGGAGUACCUCAGCAACUGAGAAUGAAGAGUGAGAUGCUUGGCAUGGGUGUGCACACACCUUGUUACAAGUCUUUUCACACAGGGACAGUACAUUUGUGGAGGUACAACACACUGGAUUUAUGUGUAAGUGUGUUGAGUUAAUGGAAGCUCUGCCCUGGAAAUGACAUUUGGUAGCAAUAGCAAAAGAAAACAAGGAAAGCUUUGAGCUGGAUUGGGAAACCUCAUCAGUUAUUCUAACACAUGGAUUCUCUAAAAUUGUCACAAACUGGUGAGAAGGUUCAACAUCUACUGCCAUGCCACCAACACGCACCUCUGAUGUCAUGGGCCAACAUAACAAAAAGGGAGGCACUGUUUUUGGAGCAGCCCUCAUAGAUCACCAUGUGUAGCAAAAGCUCAACAGAGAAUUCUCUGAUUCAGACAAAUGAGACAAAAAAAAUUGUGGUUUGUGCUAAACUGAGUGAAAGUGGUAAUGUGUGCAGUACUUGAUCCUGGAAUGUCCAUCCCUGCUAGUCUGCCAGCUUCUUUUUCCACCUGUGAAUCUCACUGCAUCCAUCUUUUCUCCAGACUUUGAGGAAGAGAUUGGAGGAAUUUAAAUAAGUAGGAGAGUUUAGUACCUUUUCUUAGGUUGGUUAUGGAGGGCUUUCAUUACUGGACAUUAAUUCAGACAGUGCAUAUUUACACUUGGCUGAAAUCUUCUGUUCGUAUAUUGAGAGACAACAGCCACAGGAACUUUUAAAAAAUACAAAUAAAUAAAUAAAUGCCAGUUUGUGGAUGGAAAAUUAAAUCCUAAAGACCAAUGUGGCAGCUGGCCAACUGGUAAUCAUGCUGAGCCUUCAGAAUUAUCCCUGGCAUUUAUGCACAAAGCAAGCAGAUGAUGCUUGCCAGGCAGGAGCUAGCAAACAAGCAGUACUCUGAGCAAAUACGAUACAGGGAGAAAAAAAAAAUCUACAGCAGCAAAGGGAAAGCUGUAAUUCCAGGACAUCAUUUUCAGCAGUGAUGUAUGCAGCAGCUUGCAGUAGUGGCAGUGAAGAAAAAUUCCAGAGAUGAAAAGGCUAGAACAACCCCUUAAUCUCCUUCAUACCUGCCCUGUGUGACAAGAAAGUCUCCCUUUGAAAUGAGAAGAGAUACAGCCUAGAAGAGGAAAGUUUGAGCAUAAAGAGAUUGGGCAACACUCAGAGGUAAGGUGAAGUCGGAACAAAGAAGGUUUCUGUUUAAGAUGCUGAACUGCGACUCAGAGGAACUGAAUUUUCUUCCUGCAUCCUUCCUCCUUUUCCUCUGGCAACUCACUUAAUCUUUGUAUGUCAGUUCCCCAACUGAAUAACAAAGCAGUAAUACUAAAAAAGCAUUUCUUUUGAUACUGGAGAGCAUUUAUUUGGUUUUGGUGGUGGUUUGUUGUUGUAGUUGUUGUUUUUUCCCUUGAAUCCUUUUUCAGAACAGAGGGAGGAAAUGAUACUGUGUAUAGCUAUAAGAGUAGGGUGGAGGUGGGGAAUAUACCCUUGCAAAAAAGAAUUGGUGACAAAAGGCUAAGAGUAGAGAUUUCUUAUCCAGGAUCAACACCAUCCAUCAGAACACUUAACGCACACAUAAAAAGGGCUUAGUCAGAGAAAAUGAUUUGUGCAAUUAAGAGCUAAUCUAAAUAGAGACCCUUAGGUAAUAUUGUAAUUAGAUAACACUGAGAGGUGAACUGCCUGUAUGGGGGCACUUGUGUCAAAGUGA